UACGGAGGUGGCAAGCGUUGCUCGGAAUCACUGGGCGUAAAGGGCGCGUAGGCGGGGAGGUAAGUCGGGUGUGAAAUCCCUCGGCCCAACCGAGGAACUGCGCCCGAGACUGCUUCUCUUGAGUCCCGGAGAGGAAGAUGGAAUUCCCGGUGUAGCGGUGAAAUGUGUAGAGAUCGGGAGGACCACCAGUGGCGAAGGCGGCGAUCUGGACAGAUAUUGACGCUGAGGUGCGAAAGCGUGGGGAGCAAACAGG
rnacentral:rRNA from 1 species